UACAGAGGGUGCUAGCGUUGUUCGGAAUCAUUGGGCGUAAAGGGCGUGUAGGCGGUUUGUUAAGUCAUGUGUGAAAUCCCUCGGCUCAACCGGGGAACGACGCAUGAAACUGGCAAGCUAGAGUACCAAAGAGGGGGGUGGAAUUCCCGGUGUAGCGGUGAAAUGCGUAGAUAUCGAGAGGAACACCUGCGGCGAAGGCGGGUGCUGGGCUGACACUGACGCUGGAGGCGCGAAAGCUAGGGGAGCGAACGGG
rnacentral:rRNA from 1 species